UACGAAGGUGGCGAGCGUUGUUCGGAUUUACUGGGCGUAAAGAGCACGUAGGCGGUUGGGUAAGCCUCUUGGGAAAGCUCCCGGCUUAACCGGGAAAGGUCGAGGGGAACUACUCAGCUAGAGGACGGGAGAGGAGCGCGGAAUUCCCGGUGUAGCGGUGAAAUGCGUAGAUAUCGGGAAGAAGGCCGGUGGCGAAGGCGGCGCUCUGGAACGUACCUGACGCUGAGGUGCGAAAGCGUGGGGAGCAAACAGG
rnacentral:rRNA from 1 species